rnacentral:tRNA from 1 species
AAUAAAGUGCCUGAUAAAAAGGAUUAUCUUGAUAGGAUAAAUUAUACAAUAUAUUGUCUUUAUUA